UACGAAGGGGGCUAGCGUUGCUCGGAAUCACUGGGCGUAAAGCGCACGUAGGCGGAUCUUUAAGUCAGGGGUGAAAUCCUGGAGCUCAACUCCAGAACUGCCUUUGAUACUGGGGAUCUCGAGUCCGGGAGAGGUGAGUGGGAACUCCGAGUGUAGAGGUGAAAUUCGUAGAUAUUCGGAAGAACACCAGUGGCGAAGGCGGCUCACUGGCCCGGUA
rnacentral:rRNA from 1 species